GUGUGGAAAGCAUCAAAUCGCCUUAGGAGAGCAGCAAGGCUUUUGUCCACACUAGCAACGGAUUCCUCCAAACUUGUGAGCUUGUUGUUUGUGGCAAUCUGCGUAGCCUCCAACUGCCCCAGCUUUUCAUUCGUCACCUGCAAGUCGUUAUCAAGUCCCUCUGUGUGCAGCUUCACUUUCCUUUCAAAAUGUUGUAUGAUGCCCUUAGUGCGAGGUGUAAGUGGUGUUUCGUUACCAUCAUCUGCCCCUGGCAUGGUUCAAAGACAAAGACAACAAAAAGGCAAGUGAAGAAAUAAAAGCCCUACAACUACUAGGAUGUAGCUACAGCAAGUCGCUCACACUCAACCUGUAACACAAGUUCUUACCAAUUCUUACCUUGCUUGACAGGAGGGGUCGUCUGCCAACAAGUGUACAGCAAUGGACGAAGUGUAUCGGUGCUGCAGCACAAGACCGUCAAGCUGUAGAGUAUGUGGAGCUAUAGGUGGGCUGAAACAAGGAACGAACUAGCACCACGUUAGUUAUAGAAGCGAGCUGAAUAAGCGUUCGACGAUGGUACUAUGCUGGUCCUAGGCUAGACCGUGCUAGAGACGCGAGCCUGGACACAAAGGAAAACCACAGCACACCCCCGAAAACAAGGUGGAAGAAACCUAAAAUCAAUUUGAAAAACAGCCCCUUUUUUUUCUUUUGAAUCUUUUCUCUUUUCUUUUUUUUUUCUUUUUUUUUUCUUUUUUUUGGGCAACCUCAAAAACUGAUUAUAUGAACAAAGGAAUACAAAAGAGCAAUUCGCUACACACACUUUUCUCUCUCUCUCUCUAGAGUAAGGCCGAACAAGUAUGGAGUUAUCUUUCUUUUUGGAUCACAGUUCAAUUCGGACUUCACAACAGAUUCGACAGAGAGAAGAUAUGGUAAUACUCGGCUAUGUAUAGAUGGUGACAAGAACUCGAAACUCUAAAGGACUAGACACUAAGAACAACAACUCGACACAAACCGAAGCAACGCAAAUUCAACAAGCCCUAACUAAAACAGUACUAGCCAAGGCACAAAGGUUUAAUAGGAUUAUGGAAAAACUAAUCUACUAUAUUUUUUUUGGCUUUUCUGGACUAUAGGAAAUUAAUUAAAAACAGCAAAGGAUUAGAAGUCUCUCACCGAAGAAUCUUGCUCUGAUACCAACUGAUGCGAACCCGCUAGGGUUUUUGGCCUGAUCUUUCGAUGAGAGGCGCUGGAUAACUCGAUUAGUGGAUGGAGAUGACGUUCACGGCCUGACUACAGCUCUCAAGACCGCGCCUUAGCAACCGAUACACCACGUCCAACAGCCGUCACGAUCUUGUGGAGCGCGACAACCAGCCCCUAGGGCUCCCGUCCUGCAAGCAAUCG
rnacentral:lncRNA from 1 species